GAUGAACGCUGGCGGCGUGCUUAACACAUGCAAGUCGAACGGAAAGGCCCAAGCUUGCUUGGGUACUCGAGUGGCGAACGGGUGAGUAACACGUGGGUGAUCUGCCCUGCACUUCGGGAUAAGCCUGGGAAACUGGGUCUAAUACCGGAUAGGACCACAUUUUGGAUGGUGUGGUGGAAAGUUUUUCGGUGUGGGAUGAGCUCGCGGCCUAUCAGCUUGUUGGUGGGGUAAUGGCCUACCAAGGCGUCGACGGGUAGCCGGCCUGAGAGGGUGUACGGCCACAUUGGGACUGAGAUACGGCCCAGACUCCUACGGGAGGCAGCAAUGGGGAAUAUUGCACAAUGGGCGCAAGCCUGAUGCAGCGACGCCGCGUGGGGGAUGACGGCCUUCGGGUUGUAAACUCCUUUCGCUAGGGACGAAGCGUUUUUGUGACGGUACCUGGAGAAGAAGCACCGGCUAACUACGUG
rnacentral:rRNA from 1 species